CAGUAAAUUUCAACUGGUCAAAGAAAUGUCGCCCAUCUUGGAGAACCUGAGUCCAGCAUCACCACGCACCUUGGACUGACUCAUGAAGCAAUCUCCUUUCGUUAAGGUGGUGGUGGGGGAAAUGGCAUCAUGAUCAACUUCCUGUCCACCAUGAUGAGAUGUAAGCUGCAAACCAACUCUGAAACUGAAGGACAACAUCCAGAAGGUGACAACCGAAGUGGGGGAUGAAUUUGAGGAGCCAACUUUAGCGCUGUUGGAUGAGGAACAUGUUCAGCUUCCUACGAGGGCUCAGUCACAGAAAAACAAGUUGCACAUCCUUUCGUUGGUCACGACACACCGGUCCACGCUCUCCUCACGAUGACCAUCAACAGCGACCAGGAAACUGUUGUCAGUAACUGCCUGGUGGAGUGGACCUGUCAUCCAACACUGAAGUUGAAGCUUUUAACGGGUCAUGACACACCGGUCCAUGCUCUCCUCACGAUGACCAGUGACUAUCAACAGCAACGAGGAAACUGUCGUCAGUGACUGCCUGGUGAAGUGGACCUGUCAUCCAACACUGAAGUUGAAGCUUUUAACGGGUCACGACACACCGGUCCACGCUCUCCUCACGAUGACCGGUGACGAUCAACAGCAGUCAGUGAUUGCCUGGUGAAGUGGACCUGUCAUCCAACACUGAAGUUGAUGCUUUUAACGGUGCUGGGGAACAUGGUCAGCAUCCUGGCAAUGCAGAUGUGCGAGCACUUGACAAUCCCAGAAAACAAAUUUCACACCCUUUUCAUCACUGGCAGUGACAAGAAGACGAUCGUCAUGUAAGCUUUAAAAAAAAAAGUUUGCUUUUUACUCUGCAAAAAAAUAAAACAGUUGAAAAACUUG